CGGGAAUUGGCAGCAACACUAUCUAAACUAAAAUGAUAUAUUUGAGAUCAAAAUCUAGUUUAAGAUAUAUAUUAUAAAAAAUAGUAAUUAAAAUAUAUUAUUUUGAUAGAACUAAAAAAUAUGUUUAAGAAAGUUUUAAAAAAUAAAUUAGAAGAUAUCAACUAAUAUAUCGAAAUUAUAUUGAUGGAUAUGUUAGAAUAUAUCAGUUUACAUCAAAUGAUAUAAUGUGUUAAGAUGUUAUA
rnacentral:lncRNA from 1 species